UCGGCAACAUUGGCUGGCAGCUCCUCCACUACUACAUUGUAGAACUUCUGUAUGUCAACCAACAUCCUGUCAUCAUCCUUGGUCACAAAGUUGAUUGCAAAACCUUUCCUUCCAAAACGUCCAAUACAGCCAAUUCGAUGAAGGUAGUUCUCUGGCUGAGUCGGCAAAUCAUAGUUAAUUACAAGGGAUACUUGUUGGACAUCUAUACCACGAGCCAGAAGAUCAGUGGUAAUGAGCACACGAGAGGAACCAGAACGGAAUUCACGCAUAAUUAUAUCUCUAGUGUUUUGAUCCAUGUCUCCCUGAGUGGCAGAGACUGAUUGAUCACGGCUACGCAUUUUGUCGGUCAGCCAAUCAACCUUGCGCGUGGUAUUAACAAAGAUGACACUCUGAGUAAUAGCCAAGGUCUCAUAAAGAUCACAAAGUGUUUCCAGUUUCCAUUCCUCCUUGUCAACAUUAACAUAAAAUUGUUUGAUACUCUCAAGAGUGAGCUCAUCUCUCUUUACCAGAAUCCUUACAGGCUUUUUCAUGAACUUCCUUGUGAUCUCAAGAGUCUCAGGAGGCAUGGUGGCAGAGAAGACCCCAACCUGGACUUUGGGAGGUAAGAGCUCGAAGAUAUCAUAAAUCUACAACAACAAAAAGAGCGAUCAAAACAUUAAAAAAAUAAUAAUAAAUUAAAAGAACAAGCAAAACAUUAAGAAAAAUAAAUUUAUGAAUGAGCCACCUUCCAUUUAUAUACAAUUUUCAGAUGGUAUUUCAGUACAUUGUGCAUCUUCCAUAUUUAUGUGGAAAGAACGUACACAAAAAUGACUACAUAACCAAUAUAUAACGUGUUGAGCUACAAAAAUCUAAUUUUCGAUUGAAUGUCUAUUAAGCAGAGUGAUGCCCAUAAAUUAAUAAUUAAAAAAAAACUAGUACCUCAUCCUUGAAUCCUCCGGAGAGCAUUUCGUCAGCUUCGUCCAAAACAAACAUCUUGAUGUGAUCUGAGCGCAGAGAUUGUCUUCGCAACAUGUCGAACACACGGCCGGGAGUACCAACCACGACAUGAACUCCACUUGACAGAAUGCGCUGAUCUUCAAGGACACUGGUUCCACCAACACAAGCAUGAACCUUUACACCAAGAUAAUCACCAAGUGCUCGCAUAACCUUCUCAAUCUGCUGUGCUAGUUCACGAGUAGGAGCAAGAACCAGACCUUGACAUUCAACAACACUAUAAUCAAGCUGCUGCAGAACUCCAGAGCAGAAAGUUGCUGUUUUCCCAGUACCAGACUGUGCCUGUUGAAUAACAUCUAGCCCCUUGCAGAAUGGAACAAUUCCCCUCUGCUGAAUUGCAGAUGGUUUCUCAAAACCUUUAAAACAUACAACGAAAAAGCACAUAAACUUCGAGAGAACUUUCAUUUUCAAGGAACUGAAAAUAAACUGUAAUCUGCCAACACAGUAUUUUUUUGAUAAACCUACGCCUAUCACAUGGUAAAGGAAUUUUAGAGAAAAUAUAAACAAAGGCUGGAUGUGGAAGGAAGGAAGACAGGGUGAAACAUUGCCUUUCUAGUGGUGUUCGUAAACAUGUCAAUUUCAUGGCAUUCUAAAACUUGGAGAAUUUGGUAAAAUAAAAACAUUUACAAGACAAAUCAUUUCAGGUAAAUUAAAACUUUCUGUGCCAUUUAUAAAUUACUCUAAUCAAGCUGCAUUCUACUUUGCUCCGGACUUCAUACACUGCUACUCCUAGAAGAAAGCUACGUGAAAUAUAGUCAUUAAUCUACAUUGAACAGGUUACUGUCGAGCAGUUCCUCAGUCCAAUUUGGACUAUGCUCAUGGGUAGAUAAUGGAGCUGUGUUCUAGGUUGCUCCAGACAUUGCUUCACUAGAAAAAAGCUACAUGAAAACAGUAUAAUAAUAAAGAACUCAUGAGCAUGUUACUGACUAGCAGUUUCCUCGGCCCAUUUUGGAAUAUGCUGAUUGUGCAGAUAAUAAAAAAAUAUUCUAGAUUGCUCCAGAAAUUGCUAAACUAUAAAAAAGCUACAUGAAAACUUUAUAGUAAAUAAUCUCAUGAGCAGUUAGGUCACUGAAAGCAGCUUCGCAGCGCAUCCCCCCCCCCCCCCCCCCCCCCCCCCACACCCNCCAAUGGUAGUCAUAAAACUAAUAUGUUCUUUAUUUAUCUCAAAAUGUUUUAGUCCUGGAGUUUUUUAAUUUGGUCGCAUGCAACAUAAAGAAACCCAAAGUUAAAAUCUUCUUUACCGUAGGCAUAGAUGCCUCUCAAGAGAUUCUCCUGCAAUCCCAUAGCAUCAAAACUGUCAUAAACCUCAUCAUAGGAUGUAAAGAAAUCUUCUCCAUCAGCACCAAGUCUGCCCCAAUAAAUUCAUAAAAAAAUAAAAAAUUGUUUUCAGCACAGAGGCAAGAAAAUACAGGGGGAUUUCAUUACAGAAAUGGAAACCAAUCAACAUAUUUGUAUGAUGGAAUAACCACAUAUUGAAGCACAGAUCACUUACAACUCGGUCAUUUUUGCGUCAAAUUGACGUGCAUCAAAUUGAGAACCUUCUGGUGCAGCUCCAGCCAUGACUAUUAGGAAUACACGAGAAGAACAUUAGCCAAAACUAUGGUAACUUGAAUCAAAGGAACUAUUCUGACAUCACAGAAAUUAAACACACACUUCCCCUGCUCUUUACCUUUGUCUGUAUUAUUUUUAGGCUUUCUUGCAUUCAAAUCACUUUCUCUUUCAUUCUCAGACAUAAUUUCGGCACUUUUCUUUGCUAAGCCCUCCAGUGAAACCAAUAUAUUCUCAUAUUCUUCAAAAGAUGGUUGUACAAGCCAUCCUUGGAUUGAUUUCACAAAGGGAACGAAUUCGGGCUUCAAGCCAUGAUCAACUAUGCACUUCAACUGGGCGUCAGAAACCAGCUCCUCCGGGUUAAGUUUGGAAAUCUCUGAGCACAGGUUCUUGAUUUUCAAGAAAAACUGUGAAAUGGACAAAGUACCUUGUGUGGCAUUUUCAAGCUCAUUCUCUAACAACCUUAAUGAAGCUUGAUCGUCAGUUUUAUUGAAUACAUUAGUAAGAGUUUCCCAGAUACUACUUGCUGACUUGCAAUAGAGAAUAUGGUGAAAGAGGUCAUCAGAGAUGGAUCUCUUUAAGACAAAUUCAGCUCUGCCGUUCUUUUUCUUCCACUCCUUGAGAGCAUCAUCAUUAACUUGGGUAUUUUUCGAAGAAAUACUAUGUGCUCCACACACAAUAUCCCACAAAUCUUCACUAGCAAGAUAUGACUCCAUACAACUUCUCCAGAUUCUGUAGUUGGACUGGUCUAGAGUCAUUAGAUCAAAUGAAUCCACUGCCACUCUAGAGCACAAACUAUACUUCAUAGAAGGAUCUUCAACUGCAAUUAUAUAUAAUAAAAAAAAACUACAUGAAAUAUAUAAGAACUCAAAUGGGCUGAGAUGCAUCCAAAGAUGAAAAGGCCAUAGUAAAUAUUCCCUCAAAAAACACAAACAACAAAGACACACUUUGCAAAACUUAAUUAUUCUGAAUAUGGGAUAGUAGUUUUUGCUUCCUUCGUGAACAAGAGCACUCUAAUACAAAAAUCACACUCAAAUGAUGAUGUACUUUCAAAUUUAGUAGUAUCUAAAUUUAGCACAUAAACAGGAAAAAGAAUCUAAACUCAAACUCAAAUGAUUAUGUACUUCCAAAUUUAGUUGCAUCUAAAUUUAGCAAAUAAAAAGGAAAAAGAAUCAAAAAUCAUAACAUCAUCUAUAAGCAAAAAGUCCCGCUUUUCCUUAUCAAGUAUUAAAAGCAUCGCUGGUAACAAUCAACAAAACAUAAAUUAUAAUGACUGCUUAAGACUUUAUCUUAAGCAGUCAUUAUAAUUUAUGCAAAUUAAACAUCAAUAACACAAAAUCUUCUAAAUCCUUUUUUAUAUCGCCAAAACAUACGCCCAGAAAAACCCGCUGCUAUUGCGAGGACAUACUCGUUCACUCUUUUUAAUCUUAUGCUAUUCUGCCUUGUAAACCCUAGGUUAUAUGGUUAAACCCUGCUGUGUACCAUGGACGGAAUGAAAUGAAAUUUGUACUCUAAAUUGGAGGUGAGCAAUCAUUUCAUUCUAACUAUUUGAACUAGAAAUCUAAUCACCACUGUUCAUUCCACUUCUUCGUUACGUUUCCUGCAAUUUUCUCAUACUUUCUACAUUUUUCAUUACAUUCUCCCCAUUCCAUUGAAAUAAACGCAACCCCAUGUAUCAAACUGUUCUUAAAAAAAUCAUUAUAAUUAUAGUGAAAACAAACUUCAUUUAGCGCAAAAAAGUAACUAUGACACCUCAAGAUUUACCAGUAAGAAUGAAUGAGCGAAGAUGCAGCAUGCAUGGAAGACAAAAGAGGCCAUCAAUAUUCCCAAAGAAGUAAUAGCAGUAUUGAUGGAUAGUGCUUUUAUUCAAGCUAGAGACCCUUGCACUUCCUUGCAAAUUGUGAGAGUUUUUUCAUUAAUACUCCUCUGUUUUGAAAUAUAAGUUGUUUAAUUUUUUCGCACACAUUUCCUAAUUUUUUUGACCGCAUAGUUAAAAUUAUUAUUUUUGAAGUUUUUUUUGAAUAAAAGUAUAUUAUUAAUAUUAUAAUUCAGAAAAAAGAAUUUUAAAAAUAAUAAUUUUAACUAAACGGUCAAAAGACUUAUAAAUAUGUGUCAAAAAGUCAAGCGACCUAUAUUUCAAAAUAGAGGGAGUAAAAAUUUUUACUUCAUUUUCUUUAUAUCAGGAAUUUUCACUUCAUUUAUUUAAAAGAGAUAUUUCUUUUACCUCCUAAUGUUUAACCUUCCAAACUAAUAAAAUAUCAAUCGACUAAAUAAAAUGUAGUUUCUCCAUAGUAUAUUUUGAAUUAAGUUGCUUCAGCUAAAUGUACAAUUUUAGGAACCGGUUCGAUGCAUCAAAAACAAUGACUUAGGAGGUAACAAGUGGACAGUUAGAAUUAUUAUUUUUCAAUUAAUUUUAUAUUGUAUAUAAUUUACUAACAAAGAUAAAUUUAAUACUUACUUAUUCGAAUGAUGAAAACUCAGCUUUUAUUUUUAAAAAUUAUAAGAUAAAAUAAAUUAUUCGAAUGAAUACAGUCUAGUAAAGGGGUGGCAUAUCAGACACGACCCGAAACCCGACUCGAACCCGACCCAACCCGAUUUGCUGAGACAAAAACCCGAAAAUCACCCGAAAAUCACCCGAGUGACCCGAAAUGGACCCGAAGUAACCCGAAAUUAGAAUUACAUUUCUAAUAACUUCAAUUUGCUAUUGUAUUCAAUUUUAAGUGAUUUUACCUUGACCCGAAAUCGACCUGAUUGCUAACACGAACACGACCCGUUAUCCGAAAUUACCACCCCUUUAUUACUUCUAAAUCAGAAGCUAGAGUAUUAACUUUAAGAUUUAUUAUUAAUACACAGACAUUUUCUACUCGAAAACCUUGGAAAAGAGCCUAGCUCAAAAUCUAAAAUGACCUUCAAGCCGGACCAAACAGUCUCAAUGAUAUGCUGAACCAUAUGAUAAAUAAAUACUCCCUCUGUCUCAUUUAAUUGUAUAUGUUUCUUUUCAACUGCUCGACACGUAUUUCAAUGUUCAUAUAAAAUAGGGUCUUUCUAACGUGUGCCCAAAUACACACAAUAAACACUAACUUUGAUGAAUUUGGUGGAUUUUUAUUGGUGAACUUGGUGAAAAUAUAAGGAGGCCAUCCAUAUUUAUGAUUGGAGGACCAAUAAAAAUGCACCACAGUCAUGAAAGUUAGCGCUUAGUGUGGGCACACCACAGAAAAACCAUAUAAAAUAUAGUUUUGUAACUUAUUUUUUACUCCCUUCAUCCCAAAUUAGAUGGCCCCGUUGACUUUGGGCACACAAUUUAAGGUUAAUUGACCGCAUAGAUACGUGACUUAUUUUUAAAAUUUUAUUUUUGCAAAUAAAAAUUAAAAUAUAAAAUUUUCAUUUAUAAAAGAAAAAAUAAAAAAAUAAAUUUCGGAAGUAUACGGUCAAUCCACCUAAAGUUACGUGCCCAACGUCAAAGGGGACAUCUAAUUUGGGAUGGAGGUAAUAGAUUUUCUUUUUCUGAAUAAAAAUAUAACAUCCAAACUUUAAUUCAGAAAAAAAAAAAUUAAAAAUAAAUUACACAACUACACUUUACAGGAGUAUUAAAGUCCGUGCCGCGUCCCCGUUCCCCGUAUACUACUCAGGGGGCGGAGGGAGUAUUCAAACAUCUCACAUAACCUUUAUAACCCAACUGAAACAAGACGGACAGCAAAAUGACAAAAUCCUUGCAGAUGAGAAAAAAAUCAAAACUUAAGAUUCAGCACUUGAGCUCAAGUGUUCGACUUCAAGCAUACCAUUCUGCAAAUCGUAUCAGAAUAUAGGAUACAGAAAUUCACCAAAUUUUGCGCAAAAAAAACAAAAACAAAAUUACAACAAACUAGGAAGAAGUUGUAAAGGGAGUUCGAUACCCAAAAUAUGUGUCUCGGAUAGUAAACCUACCAAGAUUGGACAGCAAGGUAACUUUUAAGUAACACUUAAAUAAACAGAUGAAUUCCACCCUAAAGAAGAUCGGCAACAUUGGCUGGCAGCUCCUCCACUACUACAUUGUAGAACUUCUGUAUGUCAACCAACAUCCUGUCAUCAUCCUUGGUCACAAAGUUGAUUGCAAAACCUUUCCUUCCAAAACGUCCACUACGACCAAUACGAUGAAGGUAGUUCUCUGGCUGAGUCGGCAAAUCAUAGUUAAUUACAAGGGAUACUUGUUGGACAUCUAUACCACGAGCCAGAAGAUCGGUGGUAAUGAGCACACGAGAAGAACCAGAACGGAAUUCACGCAUAAUUAUAUCUCUGGUGUUUUGAUCCAUGUCUCCGUGAGUGGCAGAGACUGUGUGAUCACGGCUGCGCAUUUUGUCAGUCAGCCAAUCAACCUUGCGCCUGGUAUUAACAAAGAUGACACUCUGAGUAAUAGCCAAGGUCUCAUAAAGAUCACAAAGUGUUUCCAGUUUCCAUUCCUCCUUGUCAACAUUAACAUAAAAUUGUUUGAUACCCUCAAGAGUGAGCUCAUCUCUCUUUACCAGAAUCCUCACAGGCUUAUUCAUGAACUUCCUUGUGAUCUCAAGGGCCUCAGGAGGCAUGGUGGCAGAGAAGACCCCAACCUGGACUUUGGGAGGUAACAGCUGGAAGAUAUCAUAAAUCUGCAACAAAAAGAGCGAUCAAAACAUUAAAAAAAAAAUAAAUUAAAAGAACGAGCAAAACAUUAGGAAAAAUAAAUUUAUGAAUGGGCCGCCUUCCACCUAUAUACAAUUUUCAGAUGGUAUUUCAGUAUUGUGCAUCUUCCGUAUUUAAGUGGGAAGAACGUACACAAAAAUGACUACAUGACCAAUAUAUAACGUGUUGAGCUACAAAAAUCUAAUUUUCGGUUAAAUGUCUAUUAAGCAGAGUGAUACCCAUAAAUUAAUGAUUAUAUAUUAUAAAAAAAAAUUAGUACCUGAUCCUUGAAUCCUCUGGAGAGCAUUUCAUCAGCUUCGUCCAAAACAAACAUCUUGAUGUAAUCUGAGCGCAGAGAUUGUCUUCGCAACAUGUCGAACACACGGCCAGGAGUACCAACCACGACAUGAACUCCACUUGACAGAAUGCGCUGAUCUUCACGGACACUGGUUCCCCCAACACAAGCAUGAACCUUUACACCAAGAUAAUCACCAAGAGCUCGCAUAACCUUCUCAAUCUGUUGUGCUAGUUCACGAGUAGGAGCAAGAACCAGACCUUGACAUUCAACAACACUAUAAUCAAGCUGCUGCAGAACUCCAGAGCAGAAAGUUGCUGUUUUCCCAGUACCAGACUGUGCCUGUUGAAUAACAUCUAGCCCCUUGCAGAAUGGAAC
rnacentral:lncRNA from 1 species